GCUCUAGACAACUCCGGGGCUGAGAGAGACGACGAUGCUCCCAUUUCUAGGGCUCCCGAGUACAAAAGCAGAGAGAGGAUCCCAGUCCUGGUCGGGGGCUGCUGUGGACUGAAUGUUUAUACUGAGGUCCUGAGGGUGGGACCCCGGCGAUGGGAUUGGCGUCCUUAUCAGAGGAGGCCAGACCUCACUCUACUGUGGGAGGGUACAGCAAGAAGCUGCCGUCUGUACGCCAGG
rnacentral:lncRNA from 1 species